GGGUUGUGAGGUUAAGCGACUAAGCGUACACGGUGGAUGCCCUGGCAGUCAGAGGCGAUGAAGGACGUGCUAAUCUGCGAUAAGCGUCGGUAAGGUGAUAUGAACCGUUAUAACCGGCGAUUUCCGAAUGGGGAAACCCAGUGUGAUUCGUCACACUAUCAUUAACUGAAUCCAUAGGUUAAUGAGGCGAACCGGGGGAACUGAAACAUCUAAGUACCCCGAGGAAAAGAAAUCAACCGAGAUUCCCCCAGUAGCGGCGAGCGAACGGGGAGCAGCCCAGAGCCUGAAUCAGUGUGUGUGUUAGUGGAAGCGUCUGGAAAGGCGCGCGAUACAGGGUGACAGCCCCGUACACAAAAAUGCACAUGCUGUGAGCUCGAUGAGUAGGGCGGGACACGUGGUAUCCUGUCUGAAUAUGGGGGGACCAUCCUCCAAGGCUAAAUACUCCUGACUGACCGAUAGUGAACCAGUACCGUGAGGGAAAGGCGAAAAGAACCCCGGCGAGGGGAGUGAAAAAGAACCUGAAACCGUGUACGUACAAGCAGUGGGAGCACGCUUAGGCGUGUGACUGCGUACCUUUUGUAUAAUGGGUCAGCGACUUAUAUUCUGUAGCAAGGUUAACCGAAUAGGGGAGCCGAAGGGAAACCGAGUCUUAACUGGGCGUUAAGUUGCAGGGUAUAGACCCGAAACCCGGUGAUCUAGCCAUGGGCAGGUUGAAGGUUGGGUAACACUAACUGGAGGACCGAACCGACUAAUGUUGAAAAAUUAGCGGAUGACUUGUGGCUGGGGGUGAAAGGCCAAUCAAACCGGGAGAUAGCUGGUUCUCCCCGAAAGCUAUUUAGGUAGCGCCUCGUGAAUUCAUCUCCGGGGGUAGAGCACUGUUUCGGCAAGGGGGUCAUCCCGACUUACCAACCCGAUGCAAACUGCGAAUACCGGAGAAUGUUAUCACGGGAGACACACGGCGGGUGCUAACGUCCGUCGUGAAGAGGGAAACAACCCAGACCGCCAGCUAAGGUCCCAAAGUCAUGGUUAAGUGGGAAACGAUGUGGGAAGGCCCAGACAGCCAGGAUGUUGGCUUAGAAGCAGCCAUCAUUUAAAGAAAGCGUAAUAGCUCACUGGUCGAGUCGGCCUGCGCGGAAGAUGUAACGGGGCUAAACCAUGCACCGAAGCUGCGGCAGCGACGCUGAUGCGUUGUUGGGUAGGGGAGCGUUCUGUAAGCCUGUGAAGGUGUGCUGUGAGGCAUGCUGGAGGUAUCAGAAGUGCGAAUGCUGACAUAAGUAACGAUAAAGCGGGUGAAAAGCCCGCUCGCCGGAAGACCAAGGGUUCCUGUCCAACGUUAAUCGGGGCAGGGUGAGUCGACCCCUAAGGCGAGGCCGAAAGGCGUAGUCGAUGGGAAACAGGUUAAUAUUCCUGUACUUGGUGUUACUGCGAAGGGGGGACGGAGAAGGCUAUGUUGGCCGGGCGACGGUUGUCCCGGUUUAAGCGUGUAGGCUGGUUUUCCAGGCAAAUCCGGAAAAUCAAGGCUGAGGCGUGAUGACGAGGCACUACGGUGCUGAAGCAACAAAUGCCCUGCUUCCAGGAAAAGCCUCUAAGCAUCAGGUAACAUCAAAUCGUACCCCAAACCGACACAGGUGGUCAGGUAGAGAAUACCAAGGCGCUUGAGAGAACUCGGGUGAAGGAACUAGGCAAAAUGGUGCCGUAACUUCGGGAGAAGG
rnacentral:rRNA from 1 species